AAACAUAUGGAGAUGCCUAUAUAAAAAAGCCUGGAAGAAUAUUAAUAGCACCAGGCCCUGUUGUGAGUGUUUUAUAUGCAUCAUCUUGUUAAUAUCCAUGGCUGUCCUAGGAGGUGGGUGUAGAGAAGUGACAUGACUCACUUAAAUUCAGAAGACAGGGGGAGGAUGUGAACCCAAGCAGUCUACUGGCAGAGCUCAUGUGCUAAAUAAGUGUGCUCUGGUGCAUUUCCCUCCAACUGUUAGCAUGCUUAUUGAAAUGUGUGAUCAUAGUGGUUUAAAUUUCCUCUUUCAUUCUUUUUUGAGACUAAGUUUUCUUUAAUAAACCAAUUGCAUUUAUAAAGAGCUAAGUGACAUCAGGCAGCACAACAUAGUGGCUGGAAGUCAGUGUCUGGAUCAGAUCUCUGCUGGUACCAACCUGAGCUUUCCCCCUUACAAUCUGAGUGACCUUCAGUGAUUGUCUUACCUCUCAAAGCUUCGGUUUCCUCAUUUGUAGGGUAGGAUGAGACUCUCCACCUCAUUACUGUGACUACUCCAUGACUCAACUUAGACAAGACUAGUAUGGUGUUCAGGCAAUGCUUGAAUAUUUUAUAGAUAGCAAAUUAAGUAUUAGUUGAAUAAGUGAGUAGGCAGACUGCUGGGAAAUCACAUGGUCACAUUUUGCACUCAGAUAGCAGAGCAGAGGCAUCUCUCUUAUGCCCAAGAUGAGGCUGAAUUGUGAUGGAAGCUGCUAGACAGGACAACAGUGGACUGGGGAGGAAUUGAGAAUGCCAGCAUUGCGAAGGCCUUUUGCUGAAGGUUUCUUUCCUCUAGGAAUUGGAGAAACAUAAUUAGAAGCUUAGGGCCUGAUUAGGCACCGCAGUCAGUGGCAAAUCCCCCUGCUCCAGUCUUCUAAUUGCCUUUCUUGGGCAGAAGAUUCAGCCCAGGAUAGGGCAGAAAGCAGCGUUUAUUAUUGCAUGCUCCUGGGUUGCUGUGACUCACGAGCUGCAGUUGCUGAACGUAUGUAUCUAUUUCUCUCUCUAGCUCUGCAAAGCACCACUUCUAUGCUGCCUUCUGCCCACACUCAGUCCAGACUUCUAGACGGGGGAGGGACAUUCGUGCUCUUGAAGUAAAACAUAAAGAGGAGCUGCGCAAGCUGCAGGGUCUGCGC
rnacentral:lncRNA from 1 species